GACGAACGCUGGCGGCGUGCUUAACACAUGCAAGUCGAACGGAAAGGCCCUACUUGCCGGGUCCUCGAGUGGCGAACGGGCGAGUAACACGUGGGUGAUCUGCCCUCCACUUCGGGAUAAGCCUGGGCGACUGGGUCUAAUACCUGAUAGGAGACACUAUCAGCGUGAUGGUUGGAAAGUUUUUUCGGGGUAGGAUGAGUUGGCGGCCUAUCGGCUUGUUGGGGGGGUAAUGGCCUACCAAGGCGGCGACGGGUCGCGGGCCUGAGGGGGUGGGCGGCCAUCUUGGGACCUAGGGGCGGCCGAGGUGCGGACGAGUGGAAGAAGGGGGGAAGACUGAACAAGGGGCGCAGGGCUGGUGCAGCGGGGCCGCGUGGUGGAAAGCCGCCUUCGGGUGGAAGAAUCGUUGCGCGAGGGACGAAGCUUUUUGUGACGGUACCUAGAGAAGAAGCACCGGCUAACUACGUG
rnacentral:rRNA from 1 species